rnacentral:lncRNA from 1 species
CGGCAGAGUCGGGUUGUAGGUUUGGGAGCACUGGUUAAAGUUGUUCAUAUCUUCUCCGCUCAGAAGUCAUAUGGCGCUUUGUUAAUUUGGGUUUUGAGGGGCUUUUGUUUGUCUCAAGGGUUUUUACAUCAUGUUCAAUGCUGAUUGUUUCAGCUGAGUAGGCAUGCUUGCUCUUUAUUUUCUUAUGAUUGUGUGCAUUGUGGUAGCUCUCAGAGAUUUACUCUCGCAUGUUGUAAGUGUCGUUUGACAACCUUUUGAGUUUUAUUCCAUACACCUUUGUUAAAAAAAAAAAAACCAAACUACCUAGAAUAAGAAAAAUGAGCAAACCAAAAGAACAUAUGUGGGAAGGAAUAUGAUUAACAACAAAAAAAAAACAAAAAGGAGAAACUACCACUGCAUGCAUAUGUACAAUUGUAACGCAUACCAAGAUAUUUCCUCACCAAAAGGGCACUUCUCGCUCUAAU